CAAUAGCGUAUAUUAAAGUUGUUGCGGUAAAAAAGCUCGUAGUUGGAUUUCUACUGAAGAUAGCCGGUCGGGUCUUCGACCUUGUAUCUGGUUUUGUCUUUGGUAUCCUCAUAGGGAACGUUUCUGCGCUUUAUUGCGUGGUGCGGUAUCUAUGACUUUUACUUUGAGGAAAUUAGAGUGUUCACGGCAGGCAAACGCCUUGAAUAUAUUAGCAUGGAAUAAUAACAUAGGAUCUUCGUCCUAUUUUGUUGGUUUCUAGGGCUAAGAUAAUGAUUAAUAGGGAUAAUUGGGGGCAUCUGUAUCAACGCGUCAGAGGUGGAAUUCUUGGAUUGCGUUGCGACAAACUACUGCGAAAGCAUUUGCCAAGGAUGUUUUCAUUGA
rnacentral:rRNA from 1 species